ensembl:lncRNA
UGUGCUGUAUCAAACUCCUGCUCAGCAGAAUCGUCCAAAAAUUUCACAGGUCCAUUACGUCCUCUACAAAACCUGCAAGCCGCUUAGCGGUGGAGCAAUCCGGAUAGCCUGAGAAGACGACCAAUCUGCACAUCGAGAAGCUGUCCUGUCUUCAGCUAGGAGUCCUUCUCCAGCUGCUGCACAUGCUAACAGAUACGACAUCUCAUGAGGAGGUUCGAACCCUGUACCCUGACCUUCCCACUGACGCACAAAGUCUGCACAUCCAGAAGCAGGCCCUUCUACGUGAACAACAGCACAACAGUUUCUAUUUCUUUUAAUAUUAGAAGUCAGUUAUUCAUUAAUGAAUACAAAUGGUGACUGAAGUUAUUUAGACAGGACAUUAAACAAUAAACUUCCAAU